UGUAUUGUUUGCUUUGUUAUCUCUGAUCUUUU
rnacentral:sRNA from 1 species